GAUGAACGCUGGCGGCGUGCCUAAUACAUGCAAGUCGAGCGAACAGACGAGGAGCUUGCUCCUUCGACGUUAGCGGCGGACGGGUGAGUAACACGUAGGUAACCUACCUAUAAGACUGGGAUAACUUCGGGAAACCGGAGCUAAUACCGGAUAAUAUUUCGAACCGCAUGGUUCGAUAGUGAAAGAUGGCUUUGCUAUCACUUAUAGAUGGACCUGCGCCGUAUUAGCUAGUUGGUAAGGUAACGGCUUACCAAGGCAACGAUACGUAGCCGACCUGAGAGGGUGAUCGGCCACACUGGAACUGAGACCCGGUCCAGACUCCUACGGGAGGCAGCAGUAGGGAAUCUUCCGCAAUGGGCGAAAGCCUGACGGAGCAACGCCGCGUGAGUGAUGAAGGUCUUCGGAUCGUAAAACUCUGUUAUUAGGGAAGAACAAACGUGUAAGUAACUGUGCACGUCUUGACGGUACCUAAUCAGAAAGCCACGGCUAACUACGU
rnacentral:rRNA from 1 species